rnacentral:lncRNA from 1 species
AAUUCUGCUGGGAAGACUUUAGGCACUAAAGUAUGUGUAUAGCACUAAAUUUCUAAUUCUUAUGAUACUAAAUUAUAGAUUUAUUUAAAUAUACUUGUCAUAACCCAAGCUAAUAAAAACUAUCAUUUGCAUUAUUUCUUACAAAGCACAACAUAUAGUGUCAAUUAAAUAUUUUGGCUCCUAAAUUUUGCAUGCUGUAAGUCCCAAAGAUAUACCUUUCUACUUUCUAGGGCUUUUUCAUUCUGAUUAAUUUCUAUUCAGAGAAAGCCCAACUAACUGGUGAGAGGCUCAUUUCAAUUCUCUUUAGAGAUGAGUUUGCUCACCUAAAUUUCUAAACAGCGACAAAGGAAGAAUGACCACCAAUGACACCAACAGAACCAAAUAGUUCCCGUUCAGAUACCACAAUCUAAAGAAAACAGAAACAAGGUCAAAACAGUCACAAAUAUCCUCUGAAAAAUAUACACAUCUUCUAACAGGACUCAUUUCAUAGGAAUACCAUGAAAACAAACACACAAAAAAGACAUGUUUGGAAAAAGUUUCCCCUGUUCAAGAUAGGAAUAACUUUUUAAUUUUGUGUGCUAGAUGAACAUUUACUCAGGUUAGAAGUCGGGUAUAAAACAGUGUAACUUUUGUCCCACUACUUGCUCUGGGAAGGCUGCCAGCUGAUUCAUAACACAAAAUGCUUCUCAAAGACUUGAUACUAAUGCAGGGAACAAAGCUUGUUUGUUAAGCCAGUAAUCUUAUCUUUAAGCACUUUCAGAAAAAUUGUACACCAACUUUGGUACAGCUUUAGCAUGUAAUUUCUAAUGCUGGAAACUAAAAAAUUUUAAAACAAGUUUUUUUCCAGAUGCGUUAGCAAAUAUUAUUAAAUAUUUCAAUGAGGAAACGUUUUCAUAAAAUGCACAGGCAAACUGCCCCCCCCAUAAAAAAAAUUAUAAAACUCAGUCCCCCAAACCAGGACUUAUUCCAGGUUAUCAGAGUAUGUUGUGACAUCUUGACCCACCUUUAACUCCAAAGACAGCCAAAAAUAUCCCUUUUGAACUUUAGAAAACAUUAUGUAUAUCCUCUAAGCCUUUUUCUUUUUAGGUAAAUCAUGAAUUGCACUGUCUUCUAAAUCACUAUUUUCAAAUUCUAAUUGCCUCAUGAAUUCUGUUCACUUCAGCAGUAAGCACUCUGCAGAACACCAACACUUAAAGAUCAGCUUAAAAAAUUAAAUUUCUAAAGCCACAUCUGAGAUAACAGCACUUCUCUAUUUUGACGUAAUGAGCUGCACAUAGGGUGGGAAGUAAAUUAUCCUUCCCCAUGUUUACUUUAGAUAAAUACCUGUGAGUUCACUGGGAUGAGUAACUUUGCUAGAAGAAAAUGGUUUCUAUAGCAUGCCCAAACAUUUUCUGGCACAUGUUGAGUAUCCCUUAUUCAAAAUGCUUGGGACCGAAGUGUUUUGGACUUUGGAGUACCUGCACAUACAUAUUUGAAGUAUCUUGGAGAUGGCACUGAAGUCUAAACACAAAAUUCACUUAUGUUUCCUAUACACCUUCUUAAACCCAUAGCCUAAAGGUGAUUUUAUACAGUAUUUUAAUUAAUUUUGCACACCUGUCACGAGAUCAGGUGUGGAUUUUCCACUUGUAGUGUCAUGUUGGCACUCAAAAAGUUUUGGAUUUCAGAUUAGGGAUGUCCAGCCUGUAUUUUGCAUUGAACAGAUUAAGUCUUAAGAAUUCCAAACUUACAAAAAUAAGACGGAUUAAUUUUUAAUGUAAUUCAAAGCUUCAGUCCUCACUUAGGAUAUAUAUUAAAAACACCUAUAACUUCUUUAAGUAUGAACAUAAAGACAGAAAGCAAGUUCUAGAAAACCUGUUUUAGAAAUUAAGAUAUCCAAAAUUGUAGGGCUAGCUACUAUCUUUCGGCCUUUCCUUCUCCAAAGUUCGAAUCAGUUUACGGGGAUGGGGGGCCUUCUUGGUCAGUUUCAAAAGGAACAUUUAUGGAUAAUUAACUAAUCAUUUUGUAUACAACUUUGAUAAAAAUGUAUCUAACCACUUUUGACUAUAAUUGUUUCUUAUGAGUAACCUUACUUAGCACCUACCCAGUUUUAUCUUCAAUGUUCGUUAAUGCCUGGAUCACCAAAGGCAACUCAUAUUUCACUAUGAAGAGGUAGCUUGACAUAGCUGGAGGAAAACAAAAUUAUACCAUUACAAGUGCAAAACGCGGCACGUGACACUAAAACGCAUGUGUCACCAUUCUGUGCUCCACAAUGAGCAUAAAGUCUACCCAAAUAAUCUUUUGAAAAAUUCUUACCUCCAAUGUUCUGCAUUGUAAUUGAUCCAGAUGCUGCAAGCUUUCCAACUAAUCCAAAUGCCUUAUAUCCCAAUUGUUCAUAUAAUAAAGACCCUACAAUUUGAAGACAGAAGCAUGAAGCCAAGGAUUUUAAAAGAGAAAUAAAAUGAUAGGUAUACAUUGUUUUAGAAAAAUCAAGAAUGCUAUCAUACCUCCUUCAUUGGCAGUCUUCAAAAGGAGAUGAACAGAAUACAGGGAAAAUAUUGACACAAAUGUCAAGAGAAUUCUGGUGAGAGAAGGAAAAGGCAUAGGGUUAUAAAUAAGCAUGGCUAUAUUUAAAGACAACUCUUUCUGGAUGUUUAAAUAACAUUAUGUGUGCAACUUGUCCUAUUUGUGUCAAAAUGCCCUGAAGAACUGGCAUUUCCUCUCCUACUAACUGGAAUGGCAACACUGUCUCUUGGCUGGCAGUAAAAACUUGCAUCAUUUCUCAGGUGAUAGUUCUACAGCAUUGGUUAGGAACAAGGAUGUCUACCCACUGAGCCAAACAUAGCAUGAGACACUGGAAAGCUCAACUUCCCAGUGAUGGAGUUUGAAACUUGUAUUUUGAUUCUGGCACCACAAUAAUGAGCUGUAUGCUUGCCACCUUUCUGCAUUUCAGUAGUUCCCCUUAUCUGUAAAAUAUUAGUAAUAUCCGCCACUAAACCCAGCCCACAAGGUUCUUGGGAAAUUCAACUGAGACACGUUCAGGAAAGGUUUUAAGACCACAUGGACCGUAUACACAAAAACAGGAAUGACAGGCCAGGUGCAGUGGCUCAUGCCUGUAAUCCCAGCACUCUAGGAGGCUGGGGCAGGAUGACUGCUUGAGGCCAGGAGUUCGAGAUCAGCUUGGACAACAUAACAUAGGGAAGCCACAUCUCUACCGAAGGAAAAACAAAAAGCCAGCUGUGGUGGUGUACACCUAUAGUCUCAGCUACUCAGGCUGAGGUGGGGGUAUCACUUGAGCCCAGCAGUUUGCCACUGCACUCAGCCUGGAGGACAAAAUGAAAUACUGUCUUUUUAAAAAAAAAAGAAAGAAAAGGAAAAGAAUGGUAAGGGGGAAAUGACACUAACAUGAUACUAACAUUUUAAGAGGCACUACAAGCUUUACUAACAACUGGGCACAAAUCAGAGAACUAACCAUUGUGAUGACAUACUACAUUGCACCCCAUGGCAAGGAAUACAGGCCCACUAUUGUCACAGUUAAACAAUGUCUGUGCUAGAACAAGUAGGCUAUCAGCUUGACUGUCUCUAAGCCUUUCCUCCCUUGACCCUUUCACUUGGAUUGAGCAACAGAAAAAAAAUAAAUAAAUAAGGUAACAUAGAGUGACUAAAGGGACCCUAAUGUCACCUAAUUUUCCUUUAGGGUAAGGGUUCUCCCUCAUUCCAGCUUUACUUUCCUUCCACCUAGGAGAGCCCAGAGAUACAGACUAAUUUUUUAAAGAAAUUAAAUAACAAAACAGGGAAACUCAUAGAAAACCUUGCAAAGGAGAAGAGUUACAUGUUUUUUAAUUCCGUAUGAACAAACUGCACGCAGUACCAUGUAAGGUGCUGACAAAGAAACUGAUGUCUAUUAGUUAAACAGAGGAAGUGGCUUUACACUACCAUUCUAAAUGCCAGAAGUUUUACAGGACCUAGUCUGAAGUGACACUAUCAACCUCACUUCUAACUGGAGAAAAUAUGUUGGUUUAAUUAAAAACAAACCAAAUUAAGUCCUUCCAUGUCUUAUACUGAAAUGACAAGGGAUGAAUAGACUUUAUAACCUUUGAGGUCACUUUCAACCUUCAGAUUGAUUCUACUUAAACAGGUUAGCUACAGGGUUGCUGAAGUGCACCGUGGCAGCCAUGUGGUUUUUGGCCCAUUUUCCUCUAUACCUCUAAAUAUAAAGUAAGUACUGAUGAAUAAAAUCACACUUUAGCAAUCUUAUUUAGCCAUUAAGCAAAAUGGUAAAUCAAUGACAUAAGCACCUAUUAAAGUAUAAUUCCAAGAGUACAAGGGUUACAUCAGAAUUUGACCUUCACUUAUGAAACAGAGGUGCCAUUUAGUAUCAUUUCAAUUCUUACUUUAACUACACUGGCUGCACUCUAAAACUGCCUCCAGUUUUUAUACCAAGUGCUAACAAGGAUUUCAAAUAUUCGACAGUGAUGCCAUUCAGGUUCUCCACUAAGAACUCCUGAGAUUCUAGGAUUCUACGUAAAUCGCUGGUCCUUCACCUUAGUAAGAGUUCUCUCAAAAAGCCUCAUCCUAAUUGAAGCAAGCCAGAGUGAAUCCUAGCAUCUAGUACUCAAAGCCAGGCUUAACCUCAGUGUGGAAUUUCACAAAGCAGAGAUUUGCAAAGGUCUGCUUUUCUUUUCAUGAACAUUCUAUCGUGCUGGAGAAAAUAACUUGAGUAGAAGGCACCAAUCAGCUAAGUAAAACACAUCUGUCACAAAGGGACAAUUCCAUGCUAUAUACAUAUGGUUUCCUUAUCUGUACAAUGAAGGUAUUAAGUUACACAAUCCUCCACAGAAAUUGCCUUAGCCAGGGGUCCACGGGUACUUAAACUUAAGGGCUAUGACACAAACAUCACUGAAAAAUACAUGCUUAAGAUUGCAUGUAUUUUUGUUUUGUGCUUUUUCCCUGGAAAUAAGAUCCACAUUUUUCUAUCAUAUUCUCCAAGAGUCAGUGACGCAAAAAUGGCUAAGAACCACUGCUCUGAAGUCUUCUGUACCUCCAAGAGUCUAUCCACGUAUUUAUGCUGGAAAGCACAGAAGUAAUUAAGUCUAACUGUGCAACUGUGGGGGGAACCAUUUAAAAAUAAGUACUUACUAAAGUAUUCAUUUUUUGCCACAACAUGUGGCAAUCGAACAGGUCUGACAAAAGCAAACAUUAAAAAAACAUGUAUGGAUUGCUUUUCAGGGUCCAGAAAAUUAUGACCUCCUCGUCUUAAAACAAACAUGUUCCAGGCUGGGUAAAUACCACCACACCUUGUAUGUUUAGAGAAAUUUUCUUUUCCUUAUUCACGUAAGGGGCCACAGGUCCUUAAGAACUGUGUCGAUUUACCAAAAUGAUUUGGAGCUUAUUAGGAUUUUCAGCUUCUGAUUUGCCAAAACAAAAUUUAUACCUACCCUGGCUUUAGCCAUAGUUUUUUUAAUAUCUACCAUCUGUUACAAUUUUGUUUUAACUAUUCCCACUGACUUAGAAGACUUCUGGCUUAAUUUGUCAGUUUUAAGGACUGCCCUAUUUUUUUCUAGUUGGCUUUCUUGAUAUUGUGCAGUAUGUAGUAGAAUAAAGAGAUUUUUUGGGGUUUCUCAUACUUUUAAUUUUAAGCAAGUAACUUUUGAGUCAGCUACUCCAACUGUAAAUUCAGUUUCUGGAGCCAAAAUAUGUUUUACCAUAGUAACUGCCCUGCAUGGCAGACUCACUACUUACACAUACUUACAUAAAAAGAGCAAUUCCAGUAUUAGCCAUGGCAUAAGAAAGCCCAAGGAUUCCACUGCCCACAAUCGCAUUGCUCAGAUUAAAUACUGACAUUCCAAAGGAAGUAGUACCUGGAUGCUACAUAGAGGGAAAACGAUAACCAAACAUAUAACAAUAAUUAAAUGGAGAAAACCAGCUUUGGGCAAGUUAGAUUUGAAUUCUAAAAGUAAAACUAUUCUUUUACUCCAUAAAGCCACUGACAGACAAAUUACUAUUUUUAACUUACAAAUUCUGUUUCAUACUUCUUCUUCCCCAAAUUCGAUUCAAGUAA